rnacentral:rRNA from 1 species
UGCGCAGGUGGCCAAGUGUGUCAGGUGUGAAAUCCCGGGGCUUAACUCCGGAACUGCGCCUGAAACUGCUUGGCUAGAGCAUUGGAGAGGGUAGUGGAAUUCACGGUGUAGCAGUGAAAUGCGUAGAUAUCGUGAGGAACACCAGAGGCGAAGGCGACUACCUGGACAAUUGCUGACACUCAGGCACGAAAGCGUGGGGAGCCAAAGG